GACGAACGCUGGCGGCGUGCUUAACACAUGCAAGUCGAACGGAAAGGCCCUGCUUUUGUGGGGUGCUCGAGUGGCGAACGGGUGAGUAGCACGUGAGUAACCUGCCCUUGACUUUGGGAUAACUUCAGGAAACUGGGGCUAAUACCGGAUAGGAGCUCCUGCUGCAUGGUGGGGGUUGGAAAGUUUCGGCGGUUGAGGAUGGACUCGCGGCUUAUCAGCUUGUUGGUGGGGUAGUGGCUUACCAAGGCUUUGACGGGUAGCCGGCCUGAGAGGGUGACCGGCCACAUUGGGACUGAGAUACGGCCCAGACUCCUACGGGAGGCAGCAGUGGGGAAUAUUGCACAAUGGGCGGAAGCCUGAUGCAGCAACGCCGCGUGCGGGAUGACGGCCUUCGGGUUGUAAACCGCUUUCGCCUGUGACGAAGCGUGAGUGACGGUAAUGGGUAAAGAAGCACCGGCUAACUACGUG
rnacentral:rRNA from 1 species